rnacentral:rRNA from 1 species
CAGCCGCCGCGGUAAUACCGGCGGCCCGAGUGGCGGCCACUAUUAUUGGGCUUAAAGCGUCCGUAGCCGGGUUGGUUAGUCUCCCGGGAAAUCUGGCCGCUUAACGGUCAGAAUUCCGGGAGAUACUGCCAGCCUAGGGACCGGGAGAGGCCGAGGGGAUUCCCGGAGUAGGGGUGAAAUCCUAUAAUCCCGGGAGGACCACCUGUGGCGAAGGCGCUCGGCUGGAACGGGUCCGACGGUGAGGGACGAAGGCCAGGGGAGCAAACCGGAUUAGAUACCCGGGUAGUCCUGGCUGUAAACGAUGCGGACGUUGUGUCGGACAAGCUAUGAGCUUGUCCGGUGCCGGAGGGAAACCGUUAAGUCCGCCGCCUGGGGAGUACGGCCGCAAGGCUGAAACUUAAAGGAAUUGGCGGG